rnacentral:lncRNA from 1 species
CAGAAAUCAACAGAAGGGAUGUGCAGCAUGAUAAAGAAAGCUAUUGCUAUGAGAAGGAGGUGUUAACCUGGAUUCUGUGGGCCAGUGGAUUUUAAGGAGCUCAAAGACUGAAUACCAGGGUCCUUCCCAGUAUCCCCUUGGACAGUGCAGAUUGGGGAUGCAUGACUCUGCUGGAUCUUGAGAGGGUUGUCGUAUACCAGGCAUCAAAGGGGACUGCCGAUAAGAAGUAUGAGGGGCAUCGGUGUCUCCUGACCAGUGUGCCAUCAGAAAUGAAGAGGUGUGCUGCAGAAUUUUGCCAUGGCAAUGAGCUACAACAGGUAUGAGGAUGGCAAAUGUCUUAACAGGUGUGGUUUGGAAAAUUUUUAUUAAUGCAAGUAUGCCUGCUCUAUAUAGUGUUUGGUUUCACUAAUACCACAACACCGUGGCAAGGAAGUCACAGAACACUAGUCUUGGUAGUUAUGAAAAAAAUCCCCUCUCACUGACAUUUGUGAAAGACAAAUCUACAUACAACAGAUAUUGUCAUAGAACAUUUUCCCCACCCCAAAGUAUUGUCAGGUACAAGAGCACAUGCUAAACAAUGAUGAUUUCUAAAAAAACCCAAGAUUUGGUUUAUUUUGGUUAGUGAUGUGAAUAUUAAACUAAAAAAAACAAAAACCAAAUCAAUUCAGUUCAUCUACAGAGUAGAGCUCUUAACUACGAGUUCCUUCAAAUUUUUAAAUAUGUAAUUUUACCUGCCAUGCAUUCAGUUCAGGUUUGAAUUCUAUAUAAAGUCUGUUUAGUUGUGGAUUUACAUAGAUAUGCAGGUAGAACACUGAUGACUCUACCAACAUUGAGAGUUAGGCUGUGAUUAAAUUUGGUAUUGUAUCUGGCGAUACAAUUUACAAGUAUUUCACAACGUUUGGCUUCCAGUUCUAAUACGGGGAUUAAAAUACUUUGAUCGGUUAGUCUUUAGAAACAGCAGCUCUAGGCCAAUCCCAGCCCUGGUCUAAACUCCAGGGAAGCCAAUGAAUUUCUAGUCUGUGAUGAGUACAGGCCAGUGUUUUUGGAAGUUGGGUAACAUAGGUCAAACAAGACUGAAACCAUGAACUUCCAUUUUUCACUUCUGGGGAAAAGAGACCAGUCAAGCUUAGCCAAAGCUGGGUUAAUGUGGUACACUGCCAGAAAGCUUAUGGUAUCCCUUUAGCUUAGGUGACAAAAUUAAAAUUAAACUUGCUACUUUCAAUCAGUCAAGUUUAAAUGCAACAUCACAAAACAGACAAAACUGCAAAUAUACUAGUUUUCUCCAAUUAUUCAGACAAGAAAGAAUAUAUGUAGUGCAUGAAG